rnacentral:rRNA from 1 species
AUUGAACGCUGGCGGCAGGCCUAACACAUGCAAGUCGAACGGUAACAGGAAACAGCUUGCUGUUUCGCUGACGAGUGGCGGACGGGUGAGUAAUGUCUGGGAAACUGCCUGAUGGAGGGGGAUAACUACUGGAAACGGUAGCUAAUACCGCAUAACGUCGCAAGACCAAAGAGGGGGACCCUCGGGCCUCUUGCCAUCGGAUGUGCCCAGAUGGGAUUAGCUUGUUGGUGGGGUAACGGCUCACCAAGGCGACGAUCCCUAGCUGGUCUGAGAGGAUGACCAGCCACACUGGAACUGAGACACGGUCCAGACUCCUACGGGAGGCAGCAGUGGGGAAUAUUGCACAAUGGGCGCAAGCCUGAUGCAGCCAUGCCGCGUGUAUGAAGAAGGCCUUCGGGUUGUAAAGUACUUUCAGCGGGGAGGAAGGGAGUAAAGUUAAUACCUUUGCUCAUUGACGUUACCCGCAGAAGAAGCACCGGCUAACUCCGUGCCAGCAGCCGCGGUAAUACGGAGGGUGCAAGCGUUAAUCGGAAUUACUGGGCGUAAAGCGCACGCAGGCGGUUUGUUAAGUCAGAUGUGAAAUCCCCGGGCUCAACCUGGGAACUGCAUCUGAUACUGGCAAGCUUGAGUCUCGUAGAGGGGGGUAGAAUUCCAGGUGUAGCGGUGAAAUGCGUAGAGAUCUGGAGGAAUACCGGUGGCGAAGGCGGCCCCCUGGACGAAGACUGACGCUCAGGUGCGAAAGCGUGGGGAGCAAACAGGAUUAGAUACCCUGGUAGUCCACGCCGUAAACGAUGUCGACUUGGAGGUUGUGCCCUUGAGGCGUGGCUUCCGGAGCUAACGCGUUAAGUCGACCGCCUGGGGAGUACGGCCGCAAGGUUAAAACUCAAAUGAAUUGACGGGGGCCCGCACAAGCGGUGGAGCAUGUGGUUUAAUUCGAUGCAACGCGAAGAACCUUACCUGGUCUUGACAUCCACGGAAGUUUUCAGAGAUGAGAAUGUGCCUUCGGGAACCGUGAGACAGGUGCUGCAUGGCUGUCGUCAGCUCGUGUUGUGAAAUGUUGGGUUAAGUCCCGCAACGAGCGCAACCCUUAUCCUUUGUUGCCAGCGGUCCGGCCGGGAACUCAAAGGAGACUGCCAGUGAUAAACUGGAGGAAGGUGGGGAUGACGCCAAGUCAUCAUGGCCCUUACGACCAGGGCUACACACGUGCUACAAUGGCGCAUACAAAGAGAAGCGACCUCGCGAGAGCAAGCGGACCUCAUAAAGUGCGUCGUAGUCCGGAUUGGAGUCUGCAACUCGACUCCAUGAAGUCGGAAUCGCUAGUAAUCGUGGAUCAGAAUGCCACGGUGAAUACGUUCCCGGGCCU